GUGACAGAAGAGAGUGAGCACAUAUAUUGUUUUCUUGGAUGAAUACCCAUGCUUGAAACUAUGCGUGCUCACAUCUCUGUCUGUCAC
rnacentral:pre_miRNA from 1 species